UACACUUUGGAUGCUGUAUUAAUACACAUAGCUGUUGGAAGUAGGGGUGCUGCAUCACACCCUGAUAAAUAAAUACAUUUUUAAAAAUCACACAAAUAAUUAACUAGAAGAAUAAAAUAUAUUCCAAAACAUGCAUCCUGUUUGCAAUAAGGCACUAAAGUAAAAAAAAAAUGUAAAAAUUAAAUUGCCAAAGAAAUUAACUUUAUGGCCUGAAAAGAAAGAGUUGUGUUUGGGACAAAUCCAACACAAUUAUUGGCGAGGAAACUUAAUUAUUGUAAUUGUGUUGGUGGUUCAGCGGUAACGUUGUUGUCUACAACGUGGGAGACUGAGGUUCAUAUCUCUGCCUUAGCACCGAUAGACUAAAAUGAUUUUAGAUUCAACCAUUUGUAUGUUUUGCCUGGAAAAAUACAUUCGCUAGUGUUUGUAUAAGAUAUGAACUGAACUUUUUACUAGGUUGUUUAGGUUGAAUUGAGAGAAUAAUGGCGAGGCAAUUUCGAUGUAAUAUGUUGUGUUGCCCAAAAUGAUCUGCUGGAAUAAUAUAUUGAGACGGGAGUCGUAUUUAAAUAAAUGUAUCAUAGAAGAGAAAGUUACCUAAACCGGAUGAAUUCUAAGGAAUAACAGAGAGAUACGAUAAAGUUUAGUGCCAUCAGGAUGUUAUAUUUUUUAUGAAUCGACUGACAAACGAUAUAAAUUUAGCAAAGAACAUGGUACGUUUAAAUUUGGGGGUAUAGAAAGUUGGGAGGUUCGGUUGGUUUUACUUUUUCGAUAGAAUUUAAAGCAGAACUUUUUUUAAUUAGACAAGUGAAUUAUAUUUUUUUUAAGAUAAAGGGUUCUUUAAUAUGUCUAAUAUGGUAUGGAACACGAAUGUAAAGGGGUGGUGUAACCUUUGACCAGUUUUCAUGGCUCUCCCAGUUGGUCUGAUCAGCCACAGGGGGGAGCCAUUUGAAUAAUGAAUUUGUGGUCAUGGGUGAUACUGGUUUUUAAGGUAAAUUAAUUAUAAUGGAGUUUAUAGUACUGCAACAGGAACAGAAAUCAUAUUAAUCAUCGAUAAUAAAUGGGGGAGGAUGGUCCUUUGAGGUUUGGACAGGACACCGUUUUAACCCAAUAGGGCAGGAAAAUACAUGAUAGAAAAGGCGAUUUUAUAAGCAUUAAAAUUAUUUAUGAAAUUAAAUAAGUUGCAGUUCUUAGGGAUGGUAAAUUACGGUAGAUAAGGUAUCUCAAACAAUGCAAGAUAUAUUAAAUUAUUGAUGUGACUGAUUUUUAAGGUUAACCCAUGUUAUUUUUAUAUAAAAUACAGUGGAUUCCCGAAAGAGAGAUUUCAUUAACACAGGGAAGAGAUAAGAUAUGGUUAGCAUUCGUUUUGGCUUUAUUUAACCAUUAGAAUAUUUUUAUUUAAAUAGUAUUAAAGUUUGACAGGGAUAUAUGACAUCUGUGGUGAUUCAGGAUUAUGGAUAGGAUCGAGAACCUUAAUUAACCUAUAUAAGGACUUUAGAAAUUGACACCAUAGACAUGUAUUUCUAAAAAAUCCACGAGUUUAGAUAAAGCCAAACAGUGAGACAUUUAGUUACGUAAGAUCUGGAAGCAACACAUAGUUGUUACAGAGCAGAGAGGAAAUGAACACAGAUACCUCUUAAAGUAAAUAAGACACUUGACAGAGAAUUGAUACAGGAUAGAUAUGAAUGGACGCCAAAGGGAGAAUUGGACAUACAUGAUAAUGUCAGAACAUAAGGAUAAUUUACUAAUCUUACCUAAGUCAUUAUUUAGAGUAGAUAAGGUUGUUACCUGGGCAGAGCCAGGUAUCAAAAGGGGGAUGGGUAAGUUGUGGUCUAGGAUAGGACACUUAGUGACCUAUUGGAUAAAAAACUAAUAAUAUAUUAUUUUUAGCUAACAAGUAGGCAUAGAAGUUAAAGAUAUAAUCAGAUAGAACAUAUGAGAAACUGUUUGUUAACAAAACCUGUGUGACCAAGAUUUAUGCACUACAGGUGAACUACAGGAUAAGGUGAUUCACUCAAUUCAGUCCCCGAGGAGGAUAGACGGGAAGCAGCACGGUGGGGAGGGGCCAUACCAAGCACUCCUGGUGACUGCCUACGCGAGGAGGAUAGCUGAAAGAGCAACUUGGGUGCAUAUCACACAUUGUAAGAGGGUAGGACACACUGACUCUGACGAACAAUCAUAGGGGUAGGAGCAGAACCGUAAACAACAGGAUACGGGGGUUACACUCCUACUGAAGACUUCCCUUUUACCCAACCUUUCCCUGCUGUGAGCGUUCAUAUAAGUGAACGUGUGUCUUGGCCUCUUGCUGCUGAUAUGUUUUCCGGGAAAAGGGUGGGGCUUCACCGGAGUGCUGUCUUAUCGUGGGAGCCAUAUUCCUGAUACACCACGUCCCACCUGAGUAUGCGGAGAGUGGUAAUUUGACCCAUGGUUUAGACGAUGAGGAUUUUGUUCCAAAAAAGCAUAAGAGAUCCCUAGAUCUGGGUAGACAGGAAGUUAGAGUAGAGGUUGGGAAGGAUGUCUCAAUGGAGUUUUAUGUAGACCAAAUGGGGUCUCUAACUACAUGGCAGUCUACUACUCUGAGCCAUUAUGGUAUAUAUUGGUGCAGGUCCCCAUGUUGGUCGUGGACACAGGUCAUAGCUCAUACGGAGCGAGAGGGCUAUAUGAAUUCACUCACCCAGUAUGGAAGGAGGUGGAGUAUAGUGAAGGUGAGAGUUUUUGACUGUAAUCUGGAGAUACGCCUUAUCCUUAAAAAAGUAAUGAAAGAGGAUCUAGUGUUAUGGUAUGUUGGAUUUGACCAGUUUUCGGUCAACACCCUAGUACGGUUCCGGGUAGAGGAGGUUAGGCCAGGUGGUAACUCUAUUGUCAGCAGGAAUACAAGCAGAGCACCUGACACAACAGACACUGACAGCAGAGUAGUCCAGAGCCAAGGGCCGGUGAAGAUAGUGAAGACAAAGAUCUGAAGGAAGUGAUUGAGGUAGAAACUGGUUAUGGGGAUUCUAACCUUUGGAUCCACUAAACAGCCAGAUCAGUAGCUAAAGAAGAAUGUUAUGCAUGCGCCACAGCCAAACCUCAGCUGACUACCAUCCCCUUUCCAUUUAAUGGAAUUGAUUCACCCAGGGGAAUGGCCUGUAUGGUAAAGCUGUUCUUGAAGGCCAGAGAAGCCAGACGAUGACAGUCGCAUUGAUCUGCAUUAUUUUAGGUUUCCCUUCCCUUCGAUGUGUCCAUCGCAUCCAGGCUUCCCCCUUUCACAGUUACAGGAGGACAUUAUUAAUGUAUGGCUCGCUACAUCACAAACGGAUGGGACGUAGGGGAAGUAAGAACAUGCAAUAGGACAGAGAAUGUUACAGCUGACAAGACAAUGAGGCACCUGACUGGGUCUGAGGACUUAAGUAAGAUAAAAGGCCUAGAACGGAUGUCUGGUGGUUUGUGGAGGUGUGAGACUGGGGCCUAACCUGCCUACCGAUUGGACCGGUAGUUGUGCAACUAGUGCAGUUAGGCAUGCCUUUCCCCUUAUCAAACACAAAGACCUAGAGCCAGGUAGAAGAGAGAGAGAGAGUGCUCCGUCUGGAUCUUUUAACAAUAGAAUUUACAUAGGAUAGUAUUGGAUAUGUUUGUUGGCUGGAAAGGGUGAGAGUGGGUGGAGGUGGUUUGUUCCCCGAUGGCACAGCUCCGGACGAAUCAGUGACCAAAGCCUUAGCUGGUUUGACCACCCUGGCUAACGAGUUGGCAGAAAACUCUGGGGUGGAUACUUCUCUGACUAAUUGGUUUGAUAGUAUGUUUGGAAAAUGGAAAAAUGUUAUGAUCACUGUGUUAUGGGCUACCUUCACCUGUGUGACUGUUUUAGUUUUGUGUAGCUUUUGUCUAAUUCCCUGUGUAUGAGGUCUCAUUUCCAGGACUCUGGAGAAAUCAAUGAGAAAACAGAUGGUGCGGUACGGACUGAUUCCAAGAUCUGACCAGUGGAAUGAUGAAUACAUGCCUCAAACCUAAAUAGAUGAAUGAAUCCUGAUUCUUCAUAUGCGAGGAACUUAGGUCUUGAUUAGACCAUUUUGAUAUUUAGAGAUGUUAGGUUGUACCUUGUUUCGAUGAAGAUUAUAAUGAAAAUCCUGAUAAGAAGAGUUAUGAUUCUGAUGUAGGCCUAAAAACAGUCAGGGUGAAUGCAAGUAUUGGUUUAUGUUAGAAAGGUAUUUUGAUAACAAGAAAUAUUUCUAAUAAAAAUAGAUGUAUGCUUUUUAAUAUUUUAAUAAAACUGGAUGUGUGAUUGGAUGUAUAACAUUUAAUCAUUGGGUGGAUAUGUUAAGGGAUUUUUUAAAAUCAAUAAUGGCUAAUUAUGUAUAUAUUUCAAUCAGGACUGACUAAUCAGAAUACUAAUAUGUUACUGUAUUUUCUUUUAAUCCUAGUACUGAAAAUAAUGUGUGUAAUUAUAAUCAAGAAUUAGAACAAUGACUGUCUGUUCCUUGGUAGAAACGAAUGAAUCUAUCGUCAGACUGGCUAGAAUGCUUAUCUACACAGGAAGACCUUGGCUUGGUCAUAAAUGAUCUAAAUUGGUGAGAGACGAUGUAGGAAGGCUUGAGAACUAUACUGCCAUUGUACCGGAGUGGAGGAGAGACGGGACAGUUCGAAACCUAAUGACGUAAUUUUCAGUUUAUAACCUGUUGUAAAUUUUAUCAUGUUCAAUACUCUCGAGAAUAAACGCUAGUGCUUGAUUUUGA